UACGAAGGGUGCAAACGUUGCUCGGAAUUAUUGGGCGUAAAGCGCACGUAGGCGGUAUUGCAAGUCGGAUGUGAAAUCCCUCGGCUCAACCAAGGAAGUGCAUCCGAAACUGCAGUACUUGAGUACGAAAGAGGAUCGCGGAAUUCCCGGUGUAGAGGUGAAAUUCGUAGAUAUCGGGAGGAACACCAGUGGCGAAGGCAGCCCCCUGGGCUAACACUGACGCUCAUGCACGAAAGCGUGGGGAGCAAACAGG
rnacentral:rRNA from 1 species